rfam:Danio rerio chromosome 4, GRCz11 reference primary assembly.
GCAGUUGUGGUUUAGUGGUAGAAUUCUCGCCUGCCACGCGGGAGACCCGGGUCCGAUUCCUGGCCAAUGCA